rnacentral:rRNA from 1 species
CUGAUCCAGCGAUGCCGCGUGAGUGAAGAAGGCCUUCGGGUUGUAAAGCUCUUUCGCAGGGAAAGAAAAAACGCGGGCGAACAGGCCGCGUCCAUGACGGUACCCUGAGAAGAAGCGCCGGCUAACUUCGUGCCAGCAGCCGCGGUAAUACGGGGGGCGCAAGCGUUAAUCGGAAUUACUGGGCGUAAAGCGUGCGUAGGCGGCCGAGCAAGUCAGAUGUGAAAGCCCCGGGCUCAACCCGGGAAUUGCGUCCGAAACUGCCCGGCUAGAGUUCGGCAGAGGAAGGUGGAAUUCCGCGUGUAGCGGUGAAAUGCGUAGAGAUGCGGAAGAACACUAAUGGCGAAGGCAUCCUUCUGGGCCGACACUGACGCUGAGUCACGAAAGCGUGGGGAGCAAACAGGAUUAGAUACCCUGGUAGUCCACGCCCUAAACGAUGCCCGCUAGCUGUCGGGGGGAUUUCCCCCCGGUAGCGAAGCUAACGCGUUAAGCGGGCCGCCUGGGGAAUACGGUCGCAAGAUUAAAACUC